rnacentral:rRNA from 1 species
UACGGAGGGUGCGAGCGUUGUCCGGAAUCACUGGGCGUAAAGCGCGUGUAGGCUGCUUCGCAAGUCGGGUGUGAAAGCCCUGGGCUCAACCUAGGAAGUGCACUCGAAACUGCGAAGCUGGAGUCCUGGAGAGGAAGGCGGAAUUCUCGGUGUAGAGGUGAAAUGCGCAGAUAUCGGGAAGAACACCCGUGGCGAAGGCGGCUCUCUGGGACGGUACUGACGCUGAGACGCGAAAGCGUGGGGAGCGAACAGG